CCGAAGGGGGUUCUUCUGAGUGUGAAACAGUAAAUCCAUGCUUGUGUUCAGCUGAGUUCAACCUCUCAAAUGAUGCUAGCUGCUUGUGUGCUUGCCAAAGAACCUCUGGUGGAUCUUGAACUCGCUCAUGGUGCCCACCUCCAGAACCCCAGAGCAGGAGACAAUGCCUUUGCUGUUCCUGGCUGAAGCCUGAUAGAUGGCUGCAUCAUCCACUGUGCAGCUGGAAAGAGAGAGACUCAAAUCAUUUGGGAACAGUGCAGGCACCAUUGAGCACAAGAAUACACAUCUUCUAAACCCAAA